AGAUCGAACUAUAGAGUUUGAUCCUGGCUCAGAUUGAACGCUGGCGGCAUGCCUUACACAUGCAAGUCGAACGGCAGCACGGGAGCAAUCCUGGUGGCGAGUGGCGAACGGGUGAGUAAUAUAUCGGAACGUGCCCAGUCGUGGGGGAUAACGCAGCGAAAGCUGUGCUAAUACCGCAUACGAUCU
rnacentral:rRNA from 1 species